rnacentral:rRNA from 1 species
AGAGUUUGAUCAUGGCUCAGAACGAACGCUGGCGGCAUGCCUAACACAUGCAAGUCGAACGAGACCUUCGGGUCUAGUGGCGCACGGGUGCGUAACGCGUGGGAAUCUGCCCUUGGGUUCGGAAUAACAGCGAGAAAUUGCUGCUAAUACCGGAUGAUGACGUAAGUCCAAAGAUUUAUCGCCCAAGGAUGAGCCCGCGUAGGAUUAGCUAGUUGGUGAGGUAAAAGGCUCACCAAGGCGACGAUCCUUAGCUGGUCUGAGAGGAUGAUCAGCCACACUGGGACUGAGACACGGCCCAGACUCCUACGGGAGGCAGCAGUGGGGAAUAUUGGACAAUGGGCGAAAGCCUGAUCCAGCAAUGCCGCGUGAGUGAUGAAGGCCUUAGGGUUGUAAAGCUCUUUUACCCGGGAUGAUAAUGACAGUACCGGGAGAAUAAGCUCCGGCUAACUCCGUG